GGAUGGGUGGCCGAGUGGUUUAAGGCUCUGGUCUUGAAAACCAGCGUAGGUGAAAGCCUACCGUGGGUUCGAAUCCCACCCCAUCCG
rnacentral:tRNA from 1 species